rnacentral:lncRNA from 10 species
CAAGGACUUUAUCUACCAAAAUGGCUAGCCUUGAUUCAGGCUACUCCUCUGCUUGGAAGGCAAAAUACAUCGGCAGAGAAGUGAAAGGAGAAAUUAAACCCAGCAGGAACACAGAAUGUGACACUUACCUUUUCUGAUUUUGUAAGGGGUGGAAGAUAUCAAGCAGUAACGAGGUGAAUUCCCCAGCAGGGAAGACGAGGGUGUGCUCUUUAGCCUGGUUGUACAACUGUUACGAGAAAGUUCCUUUUUCGAAUCGGGGAAUUAACUGACGUUUCUUGGGAAGACACUGAAUGCAGACAGAUGCAAUGAAAUUAACCUCUCCUUCCAA